rnacentral:lncRNA from 1 species
GAGAGGCACACUUUAGAAGUCUGAUGAAGUCCAUCGCUGGCAGGUGGAUGCCCUAGAAUGAGGUAAUGGCUGGGAUGACCCAGAUUUUGAUCAGCAAGGUGGUAGGGAAGGCUGUGGACAUAUGUGCGAUGUGGGGAGACAUACCGCCACUGCAAUCCAAGCAUUGGAGGGAGGCCUUUAGCAGGCAACAGCCCAGGGGCCACUUCCCAAACACUGAGUACAAAAAAAAUUCA